AUUGAACGCUGGCGGCAGGCCUAACACAUGCAAGUCGCACGAGUGGCGGACGGGUGAGUAAUGUCUGGGAAACUGCCUGAUGGCGGGGGAUAACUACUGGAAACGGUAGCUAAUACCGCAUCCCAUCGAAUGUGCCCCGAUGGGAUUAGCUAGUGGGUGGGGUAAAGGCUCACCUAGGAGACGAUCCCUCUCUGGUCUGAGAGGCUGACCAGCCACACUGGAACUGAGACACGGUCCAGACUCCGACGGUAGGCAGCAGUGGGGAAUAUUGCACAAUGGGCGCAAGCCUGAUGCAGCCAUGCCGCGUGUAUGAAGAAGGCUUUCGGGUUGUAAAGUACUUUCAGCGGGGAGGCGUUACCCGCAGAAGAAGCACCGGCUAACUCCGUGCCAGCAGCCGCGGUAAUAC
rnacentral:rRNA from 1 species